CCUCCGGGGGGCUGCAGUGGGGAAUAUUGGACAAUGGGGGCAACCCUGAUCCAGCCAUGCCGCGUGUGUGAAGAAGGCCUUAUGGUUGUAAAGCACUUUAAGCGGGGAGGAGGCUUAUGAUACUAAUACUAUCACUAAGUGGACGUUACCCGCAGAAUAAGCACCGGCUAACUCUGUGCCAGCAGCCGCGGUAAUACAGAGGGUGCGAGCGUUAAUCGGAAUUACUGGGCGUAAAGCGCGCGUAGGCGGUUAUUUAAGUCGGAUGUGAAAUCCCC
rnacentral:rRNA from 1 species